GUUUGAUUGUUUUCUU
rnacentral:sRNA from 1 species